rnacentral:rRNA from 2 species
UACGGGGGGGGCGAGCGUUGUUCGGAAUCACUGGGCGUAAAGGGCGCGUAGGCGGCCCGCACAAGUCUGCGGUGAAAACCUCCGGCUUAACCGGGGGCCGGCCGUGGAAACUGUCGGGCUGGAGGCUGGGAGAGGGCAGCGGAAUUCCCGGUGUAGCGGUGAAAUGCGUAGAGAUCGGGAGGAACACCGGCGGCGAAGGCGGCUGCCUGGACCAGUCCUGACGCUGAGGCGCGAAAGCUAGGGGAGCAAACAGG